rnacentral:tRNA from 1 species
UAGUUAGUAGCGACAAUUAUGUACAAUUGUUUAUCGGUUGAGAGGGGGUUGGUUUAUGUUCUUAUCUUUU